rnacentral:rRNA from 1 species
AGCGAACGCUGGCGGCAGGCCUAACACAUGCAAGUCGAGCGCCCAGCAAUGGGAGCGGCAGACGGGUGAGUAACGCGUGGGGAUCUACCCAUUGGUACGGAAUAACCCAGGGAAACUUGGAUUAAUACCGUAUGAGCCCUUCGGGGGAAAGAUUUAUCGCCAAUGGAUGAACCCGCGUCUGAUUAGCUAGUUGGUGAGGUAAACGCUCACCAAGGCGACGAUCAGUAGCUGGUCUGGGAGGAUGAUCAGCCACACUGGGACUGAGACAGGGCCCAGACUCCUACGGGAGGCAGCAGUGGGGAAUAUUGGACAAUGGGCGCAAGCCUGAUCCAGCCAUGCCGCGUGAGUGAUGAAGGCCUUAGGGUUGUAAAGCUCUUUCGCCGGUGAAGAUAAUGACGGUAACCGGAGAAGAAGCCCCGGCUAACUUCGUGCCAGCCGCCGCAGUAACAC